rnacentral:rRNA from 1 species
CAGCACCUCAAGUGGUCAGGAUGAUUAUUGGGCCUAAAGCAUCCGUAGCCGGCUCUGUAAGUUUUCGGUUAAAUCUGUACGCUCAACGUACAGGCUGCCGGGAAUACUGCAGAGCUAGGGAGUGGGAGAGGUAGACGGUACUCGGUAGGAAGGGGUAAAAUCCUUUGGUCUAUUGAUGACCACCUGUGGCGAAGGCGGUCUACCAGAACACGUCCGACGGUGAGGGAUGAAAGCUGGGGGAGCAAACCGGAUUAGAUACCCGAGUAGUCC